GCUAUGGGUCUGCUAUGGGGCACCAAACCCCCCCCCACACCUGCUAUGGGGCAGCCAUGGGUCCGCUAUAGGGCACUAUGGGGCAGUUAUGGGACCCCCAACACCCUCCCCAGGGUGCUAUGGGGCAGUUUUGGGACCCCAAAGCCCCCCCAGGGCGCUAUGGGUCCGCUAUGGGUCCGCUAUGGGUCCGCUAUGGGGCAGCCAUGGGACACUAUAGGGCAGCUAUGGGGCACCAAGACCCCCCCCACUCUCCCUAUGGGGCACUAUGGGGCAGCUAUGGGGCACCAAGACCCCCC
rnacentral:lncRNA from 1 species